rnacentral:rRNA from 1 species
CCUACGGGGGGCUGCAGUGAGGAAUAUUGGUCAAUGGCCGGAAGGCUGAACCAGCCAUGCCGCGUGAAGGUCAGUGCCCUAUGGGCGUUAAACUUCUUUUGUGCGGGAGCAAUAAUGGUCACGUGUGGCCAGACGAGAGUACCGUACGAAUAAGCAUCGGCUAACUCCGUGCCAGCAGCCGCGGUAAUACGGGGGAUGCAGGCGUUAUCCGGAUUUAUUGGGUUUAAAGGGUGCGUAGGCUGUGAGGUAAGUCAGCGGGGAAAUGCCCCCGCUCAACGGGGUGAAGUGCCAUUGAUACUGCCUUGCUGGAAUGCGGAUGCCGUGGGAGGAAUGUGUGGUGUAGCGGUGAAAUGCAUAGAUAUCACACAGAACACCGAUUGCGAAGGCAUCUCACGAAUCCGCGAUUGACGCUGAUGCACGAAAGCGUGGGUAUCAAACAGGAUUAGAUACCCCAGUAGUC